rnacentral:rRNA from 2 species
UGGGGAAUAUUGCACAAUGGAGGAAACUCUGAUGCAGCGACGCCGCGUGAGCGAAGAAGUAUUUCGGUAUGUAAAGCUCUAUCAGCAAGGAAGAUAAUGACGGUACUUGACUAAGAAGCCCCGGCUAACUACGUGCCAGCAGCCGCGGUAAUACGUAGGGGGCAAGCGUUAUCCGGAUUUACUGGGUGUAAAGGGAGUGUAGGUGGCAUGGCAAGUCAGAAGUGAAAGCCCGGGGCUCAACCCCGGGACUGCUUUUGAAACUGCCAGGCUGGAGUGCAGGAGAGGUAAGUGGAAUUCCUAGUGUAGCGGUGAAAUGCGUAGAUAUUAGGAGGAACACCAGUGGCGAAGGCGGCUUACUGGACUGUAACUGACACUGAGGCUCGAAAGCGUGGGGAGCAAACAGG